AUUGAACGCUGGCGGCAGGCCUAACACAUGCAAGUCGAGCGGAUGACGGGAGCUUGCUCCUUGAUUCAGCGGCGGACGGGUGAGUAAUGCCUAGGAAUCUGCCUGGUAGUGGGGGACAACGCUUCGAAAGGAACGCUAAUACCGCAUACGUCCUACGGGAGAAAGCAGGGGACCUUCGGGCCUUGCGCUAUCAGAUGAGCCUAGGUCGGAUUAGCUAGUUGGUGGGGGAAUGGCUCACCAAGGCGACGAUCCGUAACUGGUCUGAGAGGAUGAUCAGUCACACUGGAACUGAGACACGGUCCAGACUCCUACGGGAGGCAGCAGUGGGGAAUAUUGGACAAUGGGCGUAAGCCUGAUCCAGCCAUGCCGCGUGUGUGAAGAAGGUCUUCGGAUUGUAAAGCACUUUAAGUUGGGAGGAAGGGUUGUACGUUAAUACCGUGCAAUUUUGACGUUACCGACAGAAUAAGCACCGGCUAACUCUGUGCCAGCCGCCGCAGUAAAAC
rnacentral:rRNA from 1 species